rnacentral:lncRNA from 1 species
UAGUGUUGUUUUUGUCCUUAUUCAUCUCAAAAUAAUAAUAGAAAAAACUUCAAAACGCUCCCUGUGGUUUCGCACGUUUUCACUUCAAUAUCUUGUGAUUUAAAGUGCAUGAAUUUAGUGCCAUGUGGUUUUAUUUUUCUCUUUUUAUUAUCAAUUUCGCUAUUUUUUUUCUUAAAUCAGUAACAAAAUUAAAAUUAAAGGGUAUUAAAGAGAAUAUUCGAUAAACUUAGAUGGGUAUCUGAAGUUUUUUGUAUAUAAUUUAACGAAAUAUUAACGAAAAAAUAGCUGAAAAGAUAAAAAUGAAACCACAUGGCAUUAAAUUGAUACAUUUUAAACCACAUGGUACUAAAGUGAAAAAGUGCGAAACUACAGGAAGAGUUUUUGAAAUUUUUCCCUAAUAAUAAUAGAGACUAAAAUUAAAAAAAUAAUUUCCUCUAUAUAUUUCCAGAUCUGUUAAAAAAAUAGAGCUGAUGGCGGGGAUUCCUUCCCCUUCAUUCUUUUGAUCUUUUUCUAUCCUUCAAAAUUUAUUUUUGCUCCGCUUUGCUCUGA